ACUCAAAUGAAUUGACGGGUACCCGCACAAGCGGUGGAGCAUGCUGUUUAAUUCGAAAAUACGCGAAGAACCUUACCUAGGUUUGACAUCCCGUGCGAAGCUAUAGAAAUAUAGUGGAGGUUAUCACGGUGACAGAUGGUGCAUGGUUGUCGUCAGCUCGUGUCGUGAGAUGUUUGGUUAAGUCCAACAACGAGCGCAACCCCUAUCUUUAGUUGCUAACAUUUAGUUGAGAACUCUAAAGAUACUGCCGGUGUAAGCCGGAGGAAGGUGGGGAUGAGGUCAAAUCAUCAUGCCUCUUACACCUAGGGCUACAGGCGUGCUACAAUGGCUGGUACAACGAGUCGCAACAUGGUGACAUGAAGCUAAUCUCUUAAAGCCAGUCCCAGUUCGGAUUGGAGUCUGCAACUCGACUCCAUGAAGUUGGAAUCGCUAGUAAUCCCGAAUCAGAAUGUCGGGGUGAAUACGUUCCCGGGUAUUGCACACACCGCCCGU
rnacentral:rRNA from 1 species